rnacentral:rRNA from 1 species
UACGUAGGGGGCAAGCGUUGUCCGGAUUUAUUGGGCGUAAAGAGCGUGUAGGCGGCCUGAAAGGUCAGCUGUGAAAACUCGAGGCUCAACCUCGAGACGUCGGUUGAAACCAUCUGGCUAGAGUCCGGAAGAGGAGUGUGGAAUUCCCGGUGUAGCGGUGAAAUGCGUAGAUAUCGUGAGGAACACCAGAGGCGAAGGCGGUUACCUGGACAGUUACUGACGCUCAGGCACGAAAGCAUGGGGAGCAAAAGGG